GAUGAACGCUGGCGGCGUGCCUAAUACAUGCAAGUCGAGCGAACGGACGAGAAGCUUGCUUCUCUGAUGUUAGCGGCGGACGGGUGAGUAACACGUGGAUAACCUACCUAUAAGACUGGGAUAACUUCGGGAAACCGGAGCUAAUACCGGAUAAUCUUUUGAACCGCAUGGUUCAAAAGUGAAAGACGGUCUUGCUGUCACUUAUAGAUGGAUCCGCGCUGCAUUAGCUAGUUGGUAAGGUAACGGCUUACCAAGGCAACGAUGCAUAGCCGACCUGAGAGGGUGAUCGGCCACACUGGAACUGAGACACGGUCCAGACUCCUACGGGAGGCAGCAGUAGGUAAUCUUACGCAAUGGGCGAAAGCCUGACGGAGCAACGCCGCGUGAGUGAUGAAGGUCUUCGGAUCGUAAAACUCUGUUAUUAGGGAAGAACAGAUGUGUAAGUAACUGUGCACAUCUUGACGGUACCUAAUCAGAAAGCCACGGCUAACUACGUG
rnacentral:rRNA from 1 species